ACUAAAUAGAUACCCGGGUAGUCCACGCUGUAAACGAUGAUUACUCGAUGUUGGCGAUACACAGUCAGCGUCUGAGCGAAAGCAAUAAGUAAUCCACCUGGGGAGUACGAUCGCAAGAUUGAAACUCAAAGGAAUUGACGGGGGCCCGCACAAGCGGAGGAGCAUGUGGUUUAAUUCGAUGAUACGCGAGGAACCUUACCUGGGCUCGAACGUAAGAUGACUGUAGGUGAAAGCUUACGUCUCUUCGGAGCAUUUUACGAGGUGCUGCAUGGUUGUCGUCAGCUCGUGCCGUGAGGUGUCGGGUUAAGUCCCAUAACGAGCGCAACCCCUACCUUAGUUGCCAACAGGUCAUGCUGGGGACUCUAAAGGAACUGCCUACGCAAGUAGUGAGGAAGGCGGGGAUGACGUCAAAUCAGCACGGCCCUUACGUCCAGGGCUACACACGUGCUACAAUGGCCGAUACAGAGGGCAGCUACCUGGUGACAGGAUGCAAAUCUCCAAAGUCGGUCUCAGUUCGGAUCGGA
rnacentral:rRNA from 1 species